CCGAAGCCAUGCGCGUUGAUUAUCAAGAUGGCGGAUUCUUCUGUAGUUCGAUCUCGUAGACAUCAAUAUCUAUGGGAAAGUUUGGUCGAUAUUGGAGAACUUGAAGACGAAGCUAAACCGAACAGCUGAUGUCACACUUGUGGAUGGCUGUUAAUUGUAACUUCUUGAAGACCAAUCCCUGCAGAGCCAUUCCUUUUAUGCUCCACACAAUGGCCAUCACCUCAAGAGGCCGACAAUGAAGAACACUCUUCCACAUUUAAUGACCACAAUAGAAUAAAGAUUGAGCGCAUAACUUAACAUUACCCUAACUAUGCCUUGUCUGCUUGUUGUGGAGAGAAAACCGAGCCAAUCGAUACACAAAGUUAUUUUUAACAGAGUGCCUCUGAAAACUGUGAAAUUCAGUUCAUCGCAAUAUCCAUGAGUAACUCAUUGAUUACUUUUUACUUUCCUACUUUUAGAGUGACAAAUUGUUUUUCUUGAUUGGUGGCAGUAAAAAGGUUUUCAGAUUGUUUUCAGCUAACUCUUUAACCGUUUUGACAUAAACAUUAAUUAUCCUCAGUCUCACAUACAUUUCUUCUAAUUUUAGCUCAGAGAAUUUGGCAUUUAAUCAAACAAGUAUACUCAAGGUGUGUUGGAUUGUGAGGAGAAAUUACUUAUUGAUCAUUUCAUGGACUGAAAAGGUUAAUAUUUGUGGGGGUAAAGUGAUGUCCUGAAGCAAAAUUUUUAAGUACACAGUCACACAGUCACUCUGUAACAUUUAUUUCAAUUCAAUUGAUAGGUUUAUUGAAUAAAGUUGUUUGUUUGGA